rnacentral:lncRNA from 1 species
AGGAGGAGCCACAUCCUCGAGAGGAGGAGCCACAUCCUCGAGGAGACCUUAGCUGCUUUUUGCUUUAUUUUGACAUGUAUUCCUUUUUGCUUUACUUAUUGUAUUCUCAAAUAUAUUUACAUACAAAUCUAUACAAUGAGUAGACGUAUUCUCUUCAAUUGUGUGCAAUUUGAUCUCUAAUUGAUUGUUUGUUCUGCUUACCUCCUUUUUGAU